ensembl:snRNA U2 U2 spliceosomal RNA
AUCACUCCCUAGCCUUUGACUAAGAUCAAAUGUAAGAUCUGUUCUCAACAGUUUAACACUGGUCGGGUCCUCUGUCUGAAGACAACAUACUAAAUGAAUUUUAGAGCUAAU